UACAGAGGUCCCAAGCGUUGUUCGGAUUCACUGGGCGUAAAGGGUGCGCAGGUGGGUUGGCAAGUUUGAUGUGAAAGCCCCGGGCUUAACCCGGGAAUGGCAUUGAAUACUGCUGAUCUGGAGGAUCGGAGGGGGGACUGGAAUUCUUGGUGUAGCAGUGAAAUGCGUAGAUAUCAAGAGGAACACCAGUGGCGAAGGCGAGUCCCUGGACGAUACCUGACACUGAGGCACGAAAGCCGGGGGAGCAAAC
rnacentral:rRNA from 1 species